rnacentral:rRNA from 1 species
GAUGAACGCUGGCGGCGUGCUUAACACAUGCAAGUCGAACGGAAAGGCCCGGCGCUUGUGGGGUGGUCGUGUGGGGAAGGGGGGAGUAACACGUGAGUAACCUGUCCUUGUCUGUGGGAUAACUUUAGGAAACUGGGGCUAAUACCGGAGAGGAGCUCCUGAUGCAUGGGGGGGGUUGGAAAGAUUCGGCGGUGGGGGAUGGACUCGCGGGUUAUCAGCUUGUUGGUGGGGUUGUGGCUGACCAAGGUUUUGACGGGUAGCCGGCCUGAGAGGGUGGCCGGCCACCUUGGGCCUGCGAUACGGCCCAGACUCCUACCGGCGGCAGCAGUCGGAAAUAUUGCACAAUGGGCGGACGCCUGAUACAGCAACGCCGCGUGCGGGAUGACGGCCUUCGGGUUGUAAACCGCUUUCGCCUGUGCCGAAGCGUGAGUGACGGUAAUGGGUAAAGAAGCACCGGCUAACUACGUG